CUUGGCGUAGCGCAGUGGUAGCGCACUCGGUUUGGGACCGAGGGGUCGUGGGUUCGAAUCCUCACCGCCGAGA
rnacentral:tRNA from 2 species